rnacentral:rRNA from 2 species
GACCUUGAAAUACCACCCUUUAAUGUUUGAUGUUCUAACGUGGAUCCGUAAUCCGGGUUGCGGACAGUGUCUGGUGGGUAGUUUGACUGGGGCGGUCUCCUCCUAAAGAGUAACGGAGGAGCACGAAGGUUGGCUAAUCCUGGUCGGACAUCAGGAGGUUAGUGCAAUGGCAUAAGCCAGCUUGACUGCGAGCGUGACGGCGCGAGCAGGUGCGAAAGCAGGUCAUAGUGAUCCGGUGGUUCUGAAUGGAAGGGCCAUCGCUCAACGGAUAAAAGGUACUCCGGGGAUAACAGGCUGAUACCGCCCAAGAGUUCAUAUCGACGGCGGUGUUUGGCACCUCGAUGUCGGCUCAUCACAUCCUGGGGCUGAAGUAGGUCCCAAGGGUAUGGCUGUUCGCCAUUUAAAGUGGUACGCGAGCUGGGUUUAGAACGUCGUGAGACAGUUCGGUCCCUAUCUGCCGUGGGCGCUGGAGAACUGAGGGGGGCUGCUCCUAGUACGAGAGGACCGGAGUGGACGCAUCACUGGUGUUCGGGUUGUCAUGCCAAUGGCACUGCCCGGUAGCUAAAUGCGGAAGAGAUAAGUGCUGAAAGCAUCUAAGCACGAAACUUGCCCCGAGAUGAGUUCUCCCUGAGACUUAGAGUCUCCUGAAGGAACGUUGAAGACGACGACGUUGAUAGGCCGGGUGUGUAAGCGCAGCGAUGCGUUGAGCUAACCGGUACUAAUGAACCGUGAGGCUUAACCUUACAACGCCGAAG